AAAGGGAAUCUGGGUAGCUGAGAUCUACUUAAGAAAAAAUCCAGGGUGUUCUUCGGCUUAGGUUUUAUUUUUGAAAGUAAGUCAAAAGUUGGUGUCGGACACCCUACCCUACCCUAUAAGAAAAGUUAAUAAACAUAUGUUGUACGGCAAAACCUUUAUCCGCACUAGGUGGAAAUGGAGCUGCGUAUCUGAGGUCUACUUGAUAACAAUACAGAUGUUUUUCGGCUUAGUUUUGUUUUUAAGUAGAUCCACAGUUGCGGU
rnacentral:lncRNA from 1 species